GUGGGGAAUAUUGGACAAUGGGGGGAACCCUGAUCCAGCCAUGCCGCGUGUGUGAAGAAGGCCUUUUGGUUGUAAAGCACUUUAAGCGAGGAGGAGGCUACUUAGAUUAAUACUCUAGGAUAGUGGACGUUACUCGCAGAAUAAGCACCGGCUAACUCUGUGCCAGCAGCCGCGGUAAUACAGAGGGUGCAAGCGUUAAUCGGAUUUACUGGGCGUAAAGCGCGCGUAGGUGGCCAAUUAAGUCAAAUGUGAAAUCCCCGAGCUUAACUUGGGAAUUGCAUUCGAUACUGGUUGGCUAGAGUAUGGGAGAGGAUGGUAGAAUUCCAGGUGUAGCGGUGAAAUGCGUAGAGAUCUGGAGGAAUACCGAUGGCGAAGGCAGCCAUCUGGCCUAAUACUGACACUGAGGUGCGAAAGCAUGGGGAGCAAACAGGAUUAGAAACCCGUGUAGUCC
rnacentral:rRNA from 1 species